rnacentral:piRNA from 1 species
UCUUUCUUCAUGGUACCUAUCUUGUCAUGC